UACGUAGGGUGCGAGCGUUGUCCGGAUUUAUUGGGCGUAAAGAGCUCGUAGGCGGCUUGUUGCGUCGUCCGUGAAAACCCGUGGCUUAACUGCGGGCUUGCGGUCGAUACGGGCGGGCUGGAGUUCGGUAGGGGAGACUGGAAUUCCUGGUGUAGCGGUGAAAUGCGCAGAUAUCAGGAGGAACACCGGUGGCGAAGGCGGGUCUCUGGGCCGAUACUGACGCUGAGGAGCGAAAGCGUGGGGAGCGAACAGG
rnacentral:rRNA from 1 species